rnacentral:rRNA from 1 species
CCCCAGCGCCACAAGUGGUUAUCACGAUUAUUGGGCCUAAAGCGUUCGUAGCUGGUUUGGUAAAUCUCUUGUGAAAUUGUUCGGCUUAACCGGACAGCGUGCAGGAGAGACUGCCAGACUCGAGACCGGGAGGGGUUAGAAGUAUUCCAUGGGGACUGGUAAAAUGGGAUAAUCCAUGGGAAGACUACCGAUGGCGAAAGGCAUCUAACCAGAACGGAUCUGACAGUGAGGAACGAAAGCCAGGGGAGCGAACCGG